AGCCAACAUUCAGCUAAUCCGCAUUGUUCAACCCACGCCUGGCGCCUGCUGAAUUCUGGAGAGUGUCACCUCUUUGGACGGCUGUGUGAGAAGAACCAGAACCAAAAAAACAACUCUGGAUCCAAUUCAUGACUGUACCACGAAGGAUGGAGGCGUUACAUGCCAGCAGUUUGACAGGCAGAGACUUGACCCGUCGUACCAAGGGUACAGCCACUCUCGGGCGUUUGACUGGCACCACACGUGGAACAGGAGACACUCUGCCACGGUACUCAAACAACCUGCGAAGAGGAAGGGUGGUUGAACACUGGGAAUACGACUGUAAACAUCUGGAAGGAAUUCUGCGUAGCAGUGCUGUUCUUUGGAAAGCUUUGGAAAUAAGCCAGUUAAGGUGGCUGAUUCAGAUACCUGAUUAAGAAUGGGACACGGAUGCCUCCGUGUGGAGGUGCAUCUUACCCGCCCUUUCCCAAGUCUGCCAACAUGACAAUCAAGUCUGGAGCAAGUGUCACAUAAAAGAAGUAAUAGAUGGAAUAUUGCACAUUACCAAUAUUAGACAAAAAAACUCACUGAUGUAAUGCUUUAUUUGUAAAUACACAAUACAAUCAAGUUGUUGUGUGUGCAAUGAUCCUAAACUUGUAACAGUAAACAAGGCCAGGUUCAUGAAGCAAUGUUUUUGCCAGUUUGGCCUGGAAUAACUUGGCUCACAUCAAUCCCCAUCAAACAUUAUUUGGGAUAAGGCUGUGAGCCUGUUCCCAACUUUUGAAAUGAUCUUGUAGCUAAAUGAAAGCACAUUACUGCAGAAAGGUUUCAAAAUGGUGUGCUAAUCUUUUCCAGAGCAAUGAAUUAUUAUCACAGCAUAUGAAUGUCCUAUGAAUGUAGCUUUAACAUCUUCACCAGCCACACAAGGGUGUUCACAAACCUUUGGCCAUAAAUUCUCUGUUGUUCCUAUGCUCUGAUUUUUAGCAAAUAAAGCCACAAUUAAUUAGAGUGAGACUGUCUUUUGUUUUGUUUUGUUUUUUUAAAUUUCGUUUUUAAUUUUAAAAGAGGAUAUCUGUUGACAGUAGAUAUCUACACUGCGUGAGGCUCACAGCUGGUGUGGCAGAGAUGUACAGAGAAUUUUUUUUUUGUUUGUUUAUUGUUAAGACUAUGACUUGUGCAUGCGUAGUAAGUGUGAGCAUACACUUCACUGACUUUGCUGUGGGUGUAAAUACACGAAUCGGUUUCUUCCUGAUUAGCUUUAAACGUGUAUAGGGUCUACAAUUGGGAAGUCAUUAAAUAUGUGUGUUCUUUAAAUAUUGUCCUAAUAGUAUAUACAAGUAUUAAAUAAUUUGUAGGAAGCAACCACUUCCUUCUACAAUUCUGACAUACUUGUCUUUUAAAUAAAUUGGCAAUGUGAGAGUCAUGCUGUGGUAAUCCUUGGAUGAGGUGCUUAUUUAAUUUCAAACUGAUGGUGCGUAUAAAUUAUCUUUCAAGUCCAAACCACAGAAACUGGUUUACGCUGGGUUCACAGGAUUGCAUAUGCUAUCCACACAAAUGCCAUUAAUCCUUUAUGGCAUGCUGAAUGAAAUAAAUUUAGACACUUUUUCGCAAGUGACAGUAUAUUGGAACAUGACAAGAAAUAAAUAAUAACUAUUAUCUACCAAACUGGUUAGUGACAGUUCUAGGUUAGAUGUAUGUUCCAGUUUCUUUGUGAGCACAUACAAUAUUUACCUCAGCUAGUCUUC